UAAGAAAGAAGUCUGACAUCACCGGCAUGAUUUGCCAUGUCAGGAAUACUGCGGGCGCCUUUGCAAACAGCUGCAGCAUUUCUGCUCUGCUAACUGCGCGGUUUGGGUGACUGUUCUGUCCGCUGAGGUUAGUGACUCCUUGCCCUUCCCACUUAGCUGCUCUGCAUUCCUGGCCUACACUGUCAGAUGGAUCUACAGAAAAUUCUAUUUUCACCUUAGCAUCAUCCGAAGACAAAAAUCAUUUUCAUUUUUACUGGACAGAAAUCUACCUGUAACUUCAGUCAGUUGCAUAAGCAACGAUUUGCUGUUGAGCAACUGGUAAAUGAUGAAAGGCUUUAAGAGCACAAAGGUGAGGCUUCCUGAGGAUGAGGAAAUUUUGCCUGUGGGCUGUGGCUUCAGCUCCUGCCUAGACAUUUCUUGCCUGGUCUUCGGACAGCCUGCUCUGCAGAUUUCGGACCUCCCAGCUCCCACAAUCGUGGAAGCCAGUUCUUUUGAAAUAGAGCUCUUGAUAUAUUUAAUAAAUGUAAUUUGUGUGUGUAUGUGUGUGUGUGCAUGCUUACAUCCAUAUAUGUAUAUAUUCUACCAAGUCUGUUCCUCUGGUAGGACUCUGACUGCUACACCUUUGAAAUUGGGAAACCAGGCUAGGAACUAGCAAACUGCUCCCCAUUUCCCGAAGAAACCCCUUUGAAUGGCAUAACUUUUUUGCUUCCCAGUCUGAGCAGGUUAUAUUUACUACUUUAAAUCUCUUCUUCCCUACUUCCAUAA